rnacentral:lncRNA from 1 species
AAUUUAAAGAAAUUUAGAGCCAAGAGGGGAGAGAGAAAUGUCCACAACAAGGUCAUUUGCAUUCAUGGAGCAUGUCAGGAAUCAGCUGAGUAAAUUGCAGAGGCUCUGGUGUGGGCAUUUCCUUGGUACGCAGGCA